AUCCAGCAGUGAAAGGUCUGAUUUAUCUUCCCUGGGAGACCGGGAGGCAUAGAGAAUAAUCUACUGCAAGGAGCCCUUGCUGAUCAAAUUGACUGAAGCAUGCUGACAGUCUGCCUGUGUUCCCAGGGGUACCCCGUGACAGAGUGAGGGCGUUGCACAGGGCAGCAGGAGAAAGAUGACAUUAAGUUGAGUGGGAACAUUGAUCUGCUGGAGAUUAGGAAGGCUCUGCAGAGGGAUCUGGGCAGGCUGAAUUGAUGGGCCAAGGCCAAUGGUAUGUGAUUCAACAAGGUGAAGUGUCAGGUCCUGCCCUUGUGCCACAACAACUCCAUGGAACACUCCAGGCUUGAGACAGAGCAGCUGGAAAGAGACUCAGCGGAAAAGGACCUGGGGGUUGCUGGUCAACAGCAGCUCAGGGCUUGCAGGACUUUGCCAUUGUAUGAGAAGCAGGGGCACAGAAAGCCACACAAUGAUUCCCCCAUCACCUGCUGACCUGAAGAACUGACUACUAGCCUAGAAUGACACUCUCCAACCUCUUGGACCAUGUAGGUGAUGUCUCCUGUCCACUGUCUUCUCCCCACUACCCAUUUUUCCAGACAGAGUGAAAUGAGGACAGCAGCUUUAUUUUUGGAGAAACACAACCUUUUCUAAGGGCAGAGCUCAAUGAAGACAUCAAAGAAGAUUCUCUCAGACAGACUUGUGAAGAUAGGACUGGGCUCUAAACCAGCAGGCAGACCUGCCAUGAGGAGAUGAUUUGGGGCAAAAUGAAGGGUUUCAACCCAUGAAAUUCUGUUGUGUUAAAAACUGUUAUGAAGACCUCAGUGCUGCCCAUGACCACUAGAAAAAGACAGAUUUAACAAGGGAAAGAGACAUGAAUUUGAUGUGCUGAAAUACCCAACUAUUUGUUCCCUGAUGUUUGGUUAUGCUGAAUGCUUUUGUUCCAGCCAGGGUUGCUCAUCUGUGAGAAACAAACUGGUGGCACAAUCCUCUACACACAACCUUCGUGCUUCUCCAUCUGUGGCUUAAGAAGGUUCACAGCUCACUUAAUUUGCAGGCACUGGAUGUGCCAGUCUCUGCCAUAACUGAUGUGUGUGGAAACAGGUAAGUGAAGGUGAAAAACCAAUUUGAGGGCAUGUGUAAGGUAGAGAAUUUGUUGUUUUGCUAUGCAGAAAUUUAGGAGUUAUUGAUUUGUUCUUUUUAAAAAUGGCAUCUAAAUUUAGCUCUCAAAGGGUGUUGUUUUCUAGGGAUUAGUGACAGGCUGUGCUGCCAAGGUGUGUAGGCUGAUUUUGGAGGAGCCUCCAGCCAGCCUGGAUGGAGACUGAUAUCUUGCAGAUUCCUUAGAACACACUGGCAAAAGGACACUUCCUAUUAGACUUGGCCUACAAAAGCUAUAGAUGAACUGUUCCUUUUUACAGACAAUACUAAUCCUGCCAACUCAAAGGGAACAGCAACUCUGGAGGAAUCCAAGAUGCCUUGGCACCCCUACUCAAUGACAAACUGGGUAUGCUUCCUUCCGAGAGCACUGCUGCAGGGCAUUCUGGCAGCAGGAUUUAUGGGACAGGGGCUAUUUAUGUAUAAAGUAAAAGAAAGGAAUGUUGAAUUGUUUUCAUCUUCAUACAGCUACCUGAUCCCAUUUCAAAUACCACUGAUCCUCAGCAGAACUUGUAACCUUCUAGACCAUGAACUGACUGGCAAGAGCUGUGGACUGUCAUGGUUCACAUGGGACUAAAAUCCAAAUACCCAGAAUGUCACAGACUCUGAUCUGGGCAUCAAAUCUGAGCUUCUGGCAGGGAGAUAUCAAAUCCUGGGCUGAACCUCUUCUAAUUUGUCAGUUCCCAAGCUCAAAACAACAGACGGUUCCUGCAGCUAACAAACUACUGCUCCAAGAGAAGGGAUCAGUGGGAGCAGUUGGGCAUUGAUGAGCAAAGGUUGAGAGUCUGCUCCACGCUGUUUAGAGCUUUGUGAUAAUAAUUAGACCCUAAAAAUGUGUCAGUUCUGCAUGAGACAAAUCAUCAGUGUGGGCCAGGAGCAUGUUUGCUUGGGAGUGUGAGUAUCUGUGAUUUGCGUGAGUUAGCUAAUGUAGCUGUGACACUGCAUAGUCACAUCCCAGUUUCUAGGCUAUAGGAAUGGGGUAGGAAUAAUGAGAGAAGGAAGGACUCUUGCUACCUCCUAAUUUCCACUGCCUUCACCACUUCUGAAUUUCACAAAACCUUCCCCCACAGACCUGCACCCAGCAUUGCUGCUGUAAAGGCAGUGAGUAGCAUAAGGGUAUUCAAAUAACAGCUUUUCUUUCCCAUCAGAAAAGUUGCUGGCUAUAAAUUUCCAUUUGAGUCUUUUUAGAGAAGAAAAUUGUUAUGUCUGUAUUACUUUUCUUUCUGCCACAUCUCUUGUCUCAAAGGCUUUCAUGGUCUGAGGAGGGAGGAGGCUGCUCCUCCUUGGGAAGAGAAACUGCAGAAGUGGCCAGGGUUGAUUGCAGAAACAGGGAAAGAAGGAAUGGUGAUAUGAAGUGGAUUUGCUGGUCUGAACCAUUGAGGUGUUCUGAAGUCAUGCUCAUCUCCUGCCCAAGAUCUCCACCUUCUCAGCACUGAAUUAACCUUCUGUGUUCAAGAGGGUGAAGAGGAGGAUUUGCUGAUAUCUCUGGGUCUUUCCAGGAUCUAUGGCACAAAACUGCAGUUUGUUUUCAAGACAAUUGUAAUGUUUUACCUUCUAAACUCUUCUUUAUUUUUUCCUCUCCAGCCUUCUCAGUGUUGCCUACCUGGAGUAUCUGCAAUCCUUUCAGUUGCUACUCCUUUCUUUUCUUCUAUGCUUGGAUUUUGUGUAGAAGCUUACUGAAGAUCUGGACAUGAAUUCUGCACUCUGCUCCUGUGAAUGUGACUGUUGCCAUCUGUCCAAUGGGUAGAAUCAUACAGGAUCCAUGGUUGAUGGCUGAGAUCAACAUUGUUAUCCUUGAGCCUGUCUCCUUUGAAGAGAGAAAGACAAAAUGCACAUAACUUAUGGAGCCUGAGAUUGCUGAAUUUCACUUGGACUUGAAUGCCAGCCUCGUAACUUUGACUUGGGAACUCGUCAAGCCUCAUGACACAAGAAAAAUGUUGGUACUCAGUGCUGGAGAAGUCAACUGCACAAAUGAACCUCCCUCAGAACAACAGUUAUAACUUACCUGGCUACUGCCACAGCAGUGCCAGAACCACCAUUUCCACUGUGAACUGGAGUCCCUGAUCCAUGGACAGAACCCACCAAGCCAGAGAAGGGAAGAUGUGUUUCUGUCUUGGCUGGACUGUAAGCAUAUAAUCCCAUUCUCUAAUGCAAAAUUACCACUUCAUUUCUUUUAUCUGUGAGGAGUACUGUCUUCUCUUCUGGAAUGCCACUGCUUUGGGGGCUGUGCUGGUCCCUACUGACCAUCAAUUUCUAAUAAUGUUGAGGACUGCAUUUCAAGGAUGAAACCAAGUAAUUCCUCUGUCAGCUCAUUGUGAGAUGUCUCUGGCUAAAAGCCUGGGAAACAAUUUUCUUAUGACCUACUGUUUGAUGAUAGUGGACUGUUUUAUGCUGCUGCAGUCUCCCCCACAUGCUUGGCUUUGACUUAUAAAGCUCAGCUGAGAGAGAAAAAAACCCACUGCUGAUGUGCAUUGCUGCUGCUGGCGAAGGCCAGAGCCCUGCAUGGGGCCUCCAAAGAGGGACAAGAAUCUAUCUGUUGAGAUUGAGCCUGAUUUAAUUCUUCUUAUAAAGCAUCUUGGCAGCUGUCUAGAUCUGACAGGUUGAUAAUAAGACUUUCCCUCAAUGCAAAAAGGAAAGCAAUUUACAUUGGCUUCACACCUCUGGCAAGCAGGAAAGAUCCUGCCCUACGCUAGCGUGAAUGGGGAGCAGACGUGAGAACGAGAGCAGGCAGCACCAGGGGAAAGGGGGAAGGUUUGCUCCAUGCUUGAGCAAGCACAAGGAAAUGCCAUUUGGAAAACGUCGACGGGUGAGAGAGCUGGGCUUGGAAUCAGCAUUCUGUCCAUGACAGCAGUUCGGAACAGCUUUCCAGCCAAAUCCUGAAGGAUCACUCUCUUACAAGGAGCAGCAGCACUACCUGAUUUCAUUUUGCUCCAUUUAGCCCAGCGCUUCUGCUGAUACACUGCUCAUUCUCCCUCACAGCACACAAGCACAAGCACCAGGCUGCACCAAGAUUUUUUGGGUUUUGUCAUUUCAUUGAUAGGCAGCUGACAGUCUCCAGGGCAGGACUGUGGCACUCUGGCAAUAAUUGUGUGGAGAAGGUCUCUCCAAGAGGUGCAAGGAUGCAAUUACCCAGCCUCUAUCUCCCCCAAUACCUGAGCAGGCACAGAUAUUCCCAAGAGCACUGACAAGCAGAGGCUUAACCUGUAUUAUAUUCUGCCCUAAACCUGCAUCACACUAGUCCUGGUUCUAAGGGCCUGGUAAGGUGGGCCCUCAGCAGCUUUCUGCUGCUCUCAUUGCCUCCAGAAUGAACAACUUGAGGCAGCCUUUCCAUGCUUCAUACAUGGGCUGUACUGCUCCAUACCUCAGUGCAGUGGCAUGGGAGGUAAUAAUUCUGGGAUGCACUUCCUAAUCCUCAGGUGAAAGCAUGCCAAGACAGAACCAUAUCCUUCAGGGAAAUGGCAUUUAAAAAGUUUUGGUCUUCACAAUCCACCAGCUUUAUUGGCCUCUGCUCUGCCUGUCAAAUUUGAGCUGAGAGGUUGUAGGGAGGAAAGAACUGGAUUUAUGUCAAAACAAACAAAAGUGGACAGGUAGUGAGAGCAUUUACUUUUCUUUUUCCCUGGUCACUAGGAUCAUGCAGAGGAUUUUUUUCUGCUAAAAGGCACUGGCUUGGCCCUGGUGGUCUUUCUUUUGGAGUGCUCUCUGUUACAGAGAUCUUUUUAGGAGACCUCAUUCUUGAACAUUCUCAGUCCAGGGCAGUGCAGGCUGGGGGACUCCUGAGAGAUUCGCAAUGCCCUGGUGCCUUGGUGGAGGUGGGAAGGAGGACACUUGGGUGCAGAGAGGUACUGAUGGCUGCUAGGAAGCAGAGCAGAAGAGGAUCUUGUGCUGUAGGGACACAAUCACCAGAAUGUAAGUUUGUUUUCUGCCCCCUGAUUUAAUACGUCUUUAAAGGAAAUCCCUGCUAAAAUUUGCAUUGGUGUAUUCCAGCUUUGGACAGUGCCAUGCAGCUCUUUCAGGGAAAAUGGAGAUCCCUGAUUUAGUGUGUUGGCAAGGGUGAGUAGGGCCACAGAGUAGGGACAGUGUCCUGUGGCAGAUGGGAAGGUUCAGGUGGUUGCAGAGAAGGUCUGAAAUGCAGAUCUUUUGAUGAUGUAGAAUAUUGCUCAAGAGAAGAUACAUGACCUGUUUUGGAGGAAGUAGUCUGUAAAAAUCAGGAAUAAGAGGACUUUUCCUGAAUAUUAGUUGGAAGAGCAGCACAAACAGUUGUUGAGAUUGCAUCUGUAUCCUGGCUGAGCUGUGCUGGAGGGUAGUGUUGUCUGGAGGUCUUAAACACUGCCUGUCAUUGUGCCAGGUAAAUAUGGGACCCUGUGAGAGAGGCUCAGCCCUUACAUAAAUCUUUACAAAUGAGAGAUCCUGCCUGAAAGCAAAAGAGAGGAAAUUAAGACAAGUGCAAAGCACUCCUCUGGGGCAGGCAAAGCAGAAUGCACAAACACAAAACAGGGAAUAUGCAAUGAGGCAUCAGGAGAGGACCUGGGUUGUGCUGGUUCACAAGCAGAAUAUGAAUCAACCCUGCGGCUGCAGCAAAAUACUUCAUUGUAUCCAACACUGUAUUAACAAGAAUGCUCUUUGCCAGACUUGUGAGGCAAUGAUUACAAACCUCCUUGGGGCUGGUAGAUCUUCAGCCAAGUGUGGGUGUCCAGAACUAAUGUGGAACUUUGUCUACACACCAUUAAAAUAUUUGGAGAAAGAGCCCAGGAUGAAAAAAAUCAGCAACAAAACAGGUGAAUGAUAAGAGGUCAGGCAAACAACUCCUGUGGACAAAGACUGAAGACAGUUUAUUUAUUCAUUUUAAGAGAUAAAUUAUGGAAAUGGGAUGCAGUCAAUCUUCCUCACAAAAGUAAUACUUAUAAAAAAGCUGAUGAUGAGCUGUUUUCCAUGGUACUGGUAUAAGAAAAAGUGUUUGAAUUCAUAGUGAAGGUGAUUUAAGAUGUUUAUUAGGAAAACCCUUCUAAUCCCUAGACGGGUAAAACACAGAAACAAGCUGUCUAGGAAAGAUGUGGCAUCCCCUUUCUUAGUGAAUUUUAGGAAUGGGCUAGACAAACAACUAUUAAGACAAAUAGUUAUUCAAGUAUAUUUGAUCCUGUCUCUGAUGAUCCCAUGAAAUGCCUUUCUGCCAUACGUAUCUAUAAUUAAGCCCAAUGUAAAAACACAGCCUCUUCCUUGAGGAGUUAAAAACCCAUCUAUAAAUAGAUAAAAUCUUCAUCUUUCAGUGGUAAAACUAGGUUAAACGUGCCUUAUGUGACAGCUCUGUUAAUAUAUCAUUGUGGAGCAAACAUCAGGAGGAAAGGGAACUCUUUAAACCAAAGAACAGCACUGCUGUAACAACACGAGUAUAAAACUGGCCAGGCAUAAAUUAGGCAGGAAAUUGAAAGAAAGUUUUGAACUGUCAGAACAGCAAUGUUCUGAAACAGCCUUUCAUAAUGGGAAUGCUAGGGGCAAAAAUCAGAGCUUGUUUUUAAAAUAGAGCUUGCUAAAUUAAUUCAAAGGAUAUAGAAAACUACUGCCUGUCAUAGCAGAGUGCAGGACUAGGAGAUCCCUUUUGUUGCUGGAUUUCGGGAGCUGAGAGGAAGAGCAGUAUUUUUGUGCCAGUGGGACUGUUUUCUGCUCUUUAUUGACAUGAAUGUGUCUCUUUCAUCCCUCUGCUUUUUCAUGUGUGAGACAGUUACUGAUAUUUCUUUCAAGAUCUGGAGGUCACAUCUCUGCUUAAAACUACAUAAUUGGAUGAAGGUGAAGGAGGGAAUUCCAAGUUCGGGAAGACCUUCUUGAAGGGAACUUGCAAAUCCUCAGGUGCUGGGUGUCCUCUUGACUUUUCCAAGGCUGCAUUUUGUGCUAAAUGGAGUACGUGUCCUUUGGGGUUAAUAUGAAGAGCUGGGAGAACUGCCUCGGGGAAGAGCUGAGCCACUGUAGUCUGCUAAACUGGAGCCCAACCUCAUGUCCCAGAGGGUCAUGACUUGGCGGCUUAGGUGGGGCAAGACAAGGUGUCUAAGUGAGGCAAAAAACUGCUGCAAAGCAGUACAGUGUGCCAAACAUGGCUAGCAGGACAGCACAGGCUCUGAGCCAGGAGAGGAACUUAAUUUCUUUGCUGACAAAUGAAACAAAGAUGUGAUUGGAAGUGCCACACUUUGGAGGUAUGAGCAAUUUCCCUAUAAUCAAUCAUCCAAACUAAAUUGUUUUCAUUUCUUUGCAUUAUUUAGCAGCCGUUUGAUGGCAGACAAUAUGAGCUGGAUUUUGUUUUUCACCCAUCCCUUACGUUGAUGUUAUUUGUGGGCUUUGGCAGUGGGAUGCUGGGGUGAAGGAAGGCUGAACUGGGCUUCUCUAUUAAAAAAAAACUUGGCAAAGAAAAUGUCUGUGAUUAUCAGCUAAUCAUUCAGACAUAGAUGUUGUUUGUCUGCUCUUAUUAGGUCUGUAAAGUAUCUGGCUCUGAGAAGCUGACAGUGAAACACCUCCAGGAGAGGAUGUCAGAAGAAAGAGGGAAGCAGUGAGGAGGUGAUAAGGUAGAGCUGAGUUUGAUAAGCACCCCUGACUCCUCCAGUGACUGCAAGAAAGGAGCACUUCAGCAGUGAAGUGCCAUACUCUGCUGAACAAACUUGGCAUCUCAUCAAGCUGACUUAUUUG